UUGGAAAGCCUAGAACAAAUUUUUUAACCUUCCUAUGCCAAUCUCAUAUUUCUCACCUUUAGAGUGAGGAGAUAAGAAUACCACCUACCUUUUUGGAUUGUUGUGAUGACAUAUGAGGAAUUUUAAAGGAUGACAUGAAGAAAGCAGAAGCAGUUGGAGAGAAAGAAGAUAAAUGAUAAAUAGAUGGCUGUAGAGAACAGAUCAUG
rnacentral:lncRNA from 1 species